rnacentral:rRNA from 1 species
CUACGGGAGGCUGCAGUGGGGAAUAUUGGACAAUGGGGGGAACCCUGAUCCAGCCAUGCCGCGUGUGUGAAGAAGGCCCUCGGGUUGUAAAGCACUUUCAGUGAGGAAGAACGCCUGGUGGUUAAUACCCAUCAGGAAAGACAUCACUCACAGAAGAAGCACCGGCUAACUCCGUGCCAGCAGCCGCGGUAAUACGGAGGGUGCGAGCGUUAAUCGGAAUUACUGGGCGUAAAGCGCGCGUAGGUGGCUUGAUAAGCCGGUUGUGAAAGCCCCGGGCUCAACCUGGGAACGGCAUCCGGAACUGUCAAGCUAGAGUGCAGGAGAGGAAGGUAGAAUUCCCGGUGUAGCGGUGAAAUGCGUAGAGAUCGGGAGGAAUACCAGUGGCGAAGGCGGCCUUCUGGACUGACACUGACACUGAGGUGCGAAAGCGUGGGUAGCAAACAGGAUUAGAUACCCUUGUAGUC